rnacentral:rRNA from 1 species
UACGGGGGGGGCAAGCGUUGUUCGGAUUUAUUGGGCGUAAAGAGCGUGUAGGCGGCCAGGUAGGUCUGGUGUGAAAACUCGAGGCUUAACCUCGAGAUGUCAUCGGAAACCAUCUGGCUAGAGUCCGGAAGAGGAGAGUGGAAUUCCUGGUGUAGCGGUGAAAUGCGCAGAUAUCAGGAAGAACACCAAUGGCGAAAGCAGCUCUCUGGGACGGUACUGACGCUGAGACGCGAAAGCGUGGGGAGCGAACAGG